GCAGUCUGGAUGAGGAAGUGAAUGCUCUGUGUCGUUCCUGCUGCUGCUUCCUGAUUCUACAGGAUCACCUGAAGAGCUGCGAAUCUAGAUGACUGGGUUGAGGGCAUUUUUCGUGGAAACUAAUCAUGAACGGUGAUUGACAAGGUUCCUGGGGCACCUGCAAAUGAUUCCCAAGAAUCGUUUCCCACAGCAUAAGAAUCCUGGUCAUCCCUCCACUCAGCGUCAGAUGAGAUGUCUAAUACUAGAUAGUAUCGCUCAGUAGUUGGCUCUGAUUCAGUUCAUUGCUCUGUGCUUUACCUGCGACUCACAACCUCUCCAAGAGGCUAAUUGUUCCGCUGCUUAGUUCGCCUGCCUAUCGACCCCUCCUGUAUCCUGCCUGCCCAUCUGUCCUGAUGGAUUCCUGUCUGAAGUGUUUGUAUUCACUGAGUAGGCUAGUAGAGUUGUGCAAUUGGAACCAGUUCCUGUUAUUUCCACAACAAAACUUCUCUUAAGCUUGUUAUUACCAGGUCAUGGGGCUCUGACCCGUGGUCAAAUGUAUUCCUCACAUACAGAGGGGUUGAAACAUCUCUCACAGUGGACUCCAUUCCCCUGGUACGGGUGUGGAAGAGGAUUGCAUGCUAUUACUGGGUUUCCUGGGUAUUUAACUACAUAAAUGUUCCCUCUUGUGGGUUUUAUUCAAAGUUAUGGUAAAUGAUAAAUUACAGGUUUUUCAAUAGAGCUGUCUUUAUAACAUGGAUGAGUUUUGCCAUCUAUGUGCAGCAAUUACUCUUUAUACACACACACACACACACAAUGCCGUCUGCCGUCAAGGGCAAUUUUAGGGUUCAGCACUUUUCCCAAUGUCACCCUCACACGUAGAAUGGGGGAGACAGGGAUUUGUUUAGAAAAUUGGUGCCAUGACAUAUCAUGACUGGCUCUGCUCUGCCUAAAUAUGCCUGUUGGUUUUAUUUCACGCAGUGCAUCAAUGUAAAACGAAAAAAAAAAGUUUAAAUCUAUGCUAAAAAAUCUAUCUAAAGUUUCCUGCAAAAACCUGAAGAGUCAAAGCAUGUUCCUGGUUGAAUGAGACAUACAUUCAUUGAUCGUACAGGUGGACAACCCAAAUAAAACGAUCUCAUGUGGUUCAAAUAUGUUCUGGCAAAGAGCUCUCACACAUGCUGUUAUCUUUUGAAUGAGGCUUCGCUAUGGAUCCCUAAAUAACUGGCAGCACAUGUUCCUCUCUAACACAAACAUUUUACAACAAGUACUCAGAACAAGGACGCUUCUCCCCGAGCUUUGUACUCUGUGGAUUAAAGCAGUUAUCCACAGACCUUCAUUGCCAUGGUUACAAUUUUGUAAGUGUCGGAGGAAGCCCCCACAAAAUUAAGAUCAUUAUCAUGAUAACCAUUCAUAAUAAUGAAUUUGUGUAUGAUUGAUGAGCCCCAGAGAAAAUCAUCCCAAGAUCGGAAGAUGCACGGCUUCAUAUCAAUUCCUGGCGUUAAGUUGAGUACAUGGUCCGACUUUAAUCAAUACAGUAAAUAAACCAGAAACCUUGCGUGGGAGCAAGCUGAAAUGUACAACAAGAAACUAAUGGUUUGAAGAAAAGUCAGUAUCCGAAGGCAGGGGCAUUCAUGCAAGGCUUUAACACUUCGUUUCAAUCAUGCAAAAUGGAGGCAAUAUUUAUAACCGAUACCGCAGCCAACCAAUUAGAGGCCCUUUGGCUACAUUUUUGUGGAGCAGUCAUGUCUAUCAGCUGACCUUCUGUCAUUAUUACUGUGGCUAUCAGAGGUUUUACAAAGACAUAUCCUAACAAUACAAUUGAAUAUGUUUCCGCACUGUGCGUCAUUGUCAGUUGAUGGUCUCAUCUCUCAUCGUCAUCCGCUUAUCCGGGGUCGGGUUGCGGGGGGGAGCAGCUCAAGCAGGGGGCCCCAGACUUCCCUUUCCCGGGCCACAUUGACCAGCUCUGACCAGAGGCGUUCCCAGGCCAGUGUUGAGAUAUAAUCUCUCCACCUAGUCCUGGGUCUUCCCCGAGGUCUCCUCCCCACUGGACGUGCCUGGAAAACCUCCCAAGGGAGGCGCCCAGUGGG